UUAUUAUUAUUAUUAUACUUCCACCUAUUUUGUCCGGCAUGUUUUUUGGAGUGAAAUGGAACCAAUCUUAAUGAUAGUUCACUAUAAGGUGGAACAAAAAUUUCGGGGUGCAGGUGGGUCUAAGACCAUAAAAAAUGGCUGCCGUUUCCAUGGAAACAGAAUAAUUGUGAAAAAUUCCAGUUUUUGGUUUUGGUGAAUAAUUUGGAGAUUCUUAAACUCAGAAUCAUCAUAUUUUGAUACAAUGUAGGUGCCAGCCAUAUACUGGUUUUGGAUGAUUUUGGCAAUCAUUGGAACUACUAUGUUGCCAUGGAAACUGCACCAAAAAUUUCAAAAAUAUCAAAAUGCUCCAAAUUUUUUGAAACUUCAUAGUAACGAUGAGCAACAUUGGUAGAUGUGAUGUGCAAUUUGGCGUUGGAAUUUCGAAAAUGUCUGCUGUUACCAUGGAAACAAGUCGAAAAUGGUCAAAAUGCUUCAAAAACCUUAAAGUGGCAUUUACUUUCUUAAAAUGGUAGGUCAAAUCCAUUGAAACUUUGAUGGUAUGUUCCCUCCCAUGUACCAAUGUGGUAUCUGCCAUUAGAAAUUUGGAAUGGUAUCUGUUACCAUAGAAACCAGC
rnacentral:lncRNA from 1 species